rnacentral:rRNA from 1 species
AUUGAACGCUGGCGGCAGGCCUAACACAUGCAAGUCGAGCGGAUGAAGGGAGCUUGCUCCUGGAUUCAGCGGCGGACGGGUGUGUAAUGCCUAGGAAUCUGCCUGGUAGUGGGGGAUAACGUCCGGAAACGGGCGCUAAUACCGCAUACGUCCUGAGGGAGAAAGUGGGGGAUCUUCGGACCUCACGCUAUCAGAUGAGCCUAGGUCGGAUUAGAUAGUUGGUGGGGUAAUGGCCUACUACGGCGACGAUCCGCAACUGGUCUGAGAGGAUGAUCAGUCACACUGGAACUGAGACACGGUCCAGACUCCUACGGGAGGCAGCAGUGGGGAAUAUUGGGCAAUGGGCGAGAGCCUGAUCCAGCCAUGCCGCGUGUGUGAAGAAGGUCUUCGGAUUGUAAAGCACUUUAAGUUGUGAGGAAGGGCAGUAAGUUAAGACCUUGCUGUAUUGACGGUACCAACAGAAUAAGCACCGGCUAACUUCGUG